rnacentral:rRNA from 2 species
UGGGGAAUCUUGCACAAUGGGCGAAAGCCUGAUGCAGCAACGCCGCGUGCGGGAAGAAGGCCCUAGGGUUGUAAACCGCUUUCAGUAGGGAAGAAAAUGACGGUACCUACAGAAGAAGGUGCGGCCAACUACGUGCCAGCAGCCGCGGUGACACGUAGGCACCAAGCGUUAUCCGGAUUUAUUGGGCGUAAAGAGCUCGUAGGCGGUUUGGUAAGUCGGGUGUGAAAACUCUGGGCUCAACCCAGAGACGCCACCCGAUACUGCUAUGACUAGAGUACGGUAGGGGAGCGGGGAAUUCAUGGUGUAGCGGUGAAAUGCGCAGAUAUCAUGAGGAACACCAGCGGCGAAGGCGCCGCUCUGGGCCGUAACUGACGCUGAGGAGCGAAAGCAUGGGUAGCAAACAGG